AUGGAGAGUGUUCCAGUGUUGAUUGUUGGUGCUGGGCCAGCAGGCCUUGCAACGGCAGCAUGCCUUGGUCAAUUCUCGAUUCCUUAUGCCAUCGUCGAGCGCGAGAGCUGUAGCGCGUCACUCUGGCGCAACCGUGCAUAUGAUCGCCUCAAGCUGCAUCUCGCAAAGGAGUUCUGUGAGUUGCCACACAUGUCAUACCCUGUAGAUGCACCAACAUACAUACCAAAAACCUUGUUUGUGAAGUACUUGGAUGACUAUGUUGAGCGUUUCAACAUUCAACCAAAGUAUCUCACCAGCGUGGAGUCAUCCACAUAUGACAAUGAUGAAAAAUGUUGGUCCAUUGUGGCAACGGACAUGUCAAAGUGCACCACAUUCAAGUUCACGGCAAAGUUUCUUGUUGUGGCAAGUGGUGAGAAUAGUGCAGAGAAUAUUCCAAUGAUCCCUGGACUAGAAAACUUUCCAGGUGAUGUCAUCCACUCCUCAAGCUACAAGUCAGGCAAGAGCUACUCUGGCAAGAAUGUAUUGGUCGUUGGAUCUGGCAACUCCGGGAUGGAAAUUGCUUAUGACCUUGCGACCCAUGGUGCCAAUACAUCGAUUGUUAUACGAAGCCCCAUUCAUGUAAUGACAAAGGAAUUAAUUCGUUUGGGGAUGACACUUGCUCACCAUCUUCCAUUGAAUCUAGUGGAUAAACUCCUUGUGAUGGCAGCAUAUUUAAUAUUUGGAGACCUGUCACGACAUGGCAUCACAAGGCCAAAAAUGGGUCCAAUGACCCUCAAAUCAGAAACAGGCCGAUCUGCGGUGAUUGAUGUUGGGACUGUUGGAUUGAUCAGAAAAGGCAUCAUCAAAGUUCAGGGGAGCAUUAGUAAGAUCAAGGGCAACAUAGUUAAAUUUCAAUGCAGUAAAAGAAUCUUAUUUGAUGCGAUUGUGUUUGCAACUGGAUACAAAAGCACGGCAAAUAUAUGGCUCAAGCUCUAUGCUUUUUUGAUCCAGAAUGGUGAGAGCAUGUUAAAUGGCAACGGACUGCCCAUCCAAAAAUAUCCGAAUCAUUGGAAAGGUGAAAAUGGGCUCUACUGUGCUGGGUUAGCGAGGAGAGGAUUAGCCGGUAUUGCAGCAGAUGCCAAGAAUAUCGCUAAUGACAUCAAAUCUGUGAUAGACUCUAUGUCAAGUUAA
rnacentral:rRNA from 1 species